GCUUGAAUUGUCUGAUAAUUUGUUAAGUGUGAGAUUGAGAGCAUACAAGUGUGCUAGAGCUUAGAAGUUCAUUUGGAGCAAGUUUUCAUCCAAUUGCAGAGGUAUAAACUCUUUUCCUUAUUACCAUUUUCAUUCUCUGUAAAAAAUGGAGUUUUGGUCUUGAAGUUCAAAUUCUUGAAUUCAUGGAAUUAUAUGUUAAGGAGGUUGUGUAAUGUUUAAUUAGUUGUUAUAUGAUCAUAUAAGCAUGUUGCAAUUGAUAUAUGAGUGUUGAGGAAUGAUUUCGUGGGUAAAUUAUGAGUUUUCACUGGAUAGUUGCCGAAGCAGAUUGUUCUUGGCCUGAACCAGGCACGGCGCAGCUGCGCCGGUUGCUGAUUUCAGUUGAGCAGUCUGUUUUCAAGUCUGAUCCUUAUGAGCUAGUAGUUAUGACUUAAACUAACAUCUGAACAUGUGUAUAAUGGAUAUGUUGACCUAAUGGGAGCAUGUUUUCAUAGACUUGCAUGACUAAUGGAGACAUAUGGUUUAAAUGGAG
rnacentral:lncRNA from 1 species